UGGUGGAGUGAUUUGUCUGGUUAAUUCCGUUAACGAACGAGACCUUAACCUGCUAAAUAGUCGACGGUUAGGCUUCUACCAAAACACGGUAGGGUCUAGGGUGAAGUUUCGACGGAGCCUGACGCCUUAUCGUGUGGAUGCCUAGCCGGCUCGCUUCUUAGAGGGACUAUCUGUAUUAAAGCAGAUGGAAGUUUGAGGCAAUAACA
rnacentral:rRNA from 1 species